AUUCAUUUCUAACGCACUUUAACUCACAGAGCCCUUUCUGCAGAGCUGUAAAAGCUCUGGUAUUGCAGGGUUGUGCAUUUGUACAGAUGGUUAUUCCUCCUUAAGUGCCUUUGCCUUAACUGAAUUAUCUACUGUUUGUUUUACAUAAUUUCCUCAACUUGCCAGGACCUCUUUAAUUUCUCAAAAGUGUUUGCAGCUCCUCCUGCUCUGGCAAAAUUCAUGCUGGCAUUGGAGACAUUACUGAAAGUAUUUAAUUCCUUGCAGAGCGGGGCUUCAAACCUGCUUCUGCUAGCACAAGGGAGUGAGUUACAGCUGCUUUGAAGUACACCUUUGCACUAGUUGUUCUUCCACUUACAGCUUGAGGACCUCCAACCCUCAUGUUCCUUGGCUGCCGGUGAAAAAUACAGUCAGAGAGAGAGGCAAAGACUUUCUAAAGUGAAUGACAAAGGCAAGAACCUGGUCUUGAGCAUUUUUCAGUGAUCCACCAAGGUGGUUGCUCCUGGCACAGAAAAUCAUUGACUGAUUUACUGUGAUAUCUGUCUGGACACUGGGCUAAUGUACAUUUGUAGCCUUUUAACAAUACAGCCACUUACCAGCUGUUUGGGUUGUAUCCUGGAGUGCACUGGGAGGAGUGUGUCCUGCAAACUGAGGGAGGUGAUCCUUCCCCUCUUCUGGACCCUGGUGAGGUCACGUCUGGAGUUACUGUGUCCAUUUCUGGGUUCCUCAGUACAAGACAGACAAGGAGCUAUUGGAGAGGGCCCAGCGGAGGGCCACAAGGAUGAUCAGGGGUCUGGAGCAUCUCUCUUACGAGGAGAGAUUGCGAGAGCUGGGCCUGUUUAGUCUGGAGAAGAAAAGACCGAGAGGGGAUCUCAUUAGUGAAUAUAAAUAUCUCAAAGGCAGGUGACAGCAGAAUGGUGCCAGACUCUUUUCAGUGGUGCCCAGCAACAGGGCAAGGAGCAAUGUCCAUAGACUAAAACACAGGAAGUUUCACCUCAACAUGAAGACGAACCUUUACGUUGAGAGUGGGCAGAGCACGGGAAUGGCGUGUUUUCCCCACGCCGUAUCCAAACCUGCAACCCGCCAUUCUUCCUUCUCACCCCCCGCACCCGGUAACGGUUGGAUUUGACGCUCUUAAAGGUCUUUUCCAACCUAAUUCCAUGGUGUGGUUGGUGUCAGCGGAGUCCAGCAGGGGGCACCUCCGCAUCACGGCACGGGCGAGCGGGGCGAGGGGCGGGGCGAGGCGAGGGGGCGCGGCCUCCGCCGCUCACCUGAGGGAGGAGGAGGAGGAGGAGAUGAUGAUGGACCCGCUAACCCCUUUCUCAUGCUUUGCAGCGUUCUCCUGCCGCUGCCUGCUCAUGGAAUGACGGACAAGCUAAAGGUUGAGAAAAUACAGUAAAAUGCCUUUCUUAUCCUGUAAUGACCAAGGGGGCAGGACAUGGCCUGAUAAAAAUGACAAGCCAGAUGAAUUGAGAACCAGACCCUUCACCUGCCUAUCCCUCAGCGGACAGAAAACACUCGAUAGACCUGCCAUGACUGCAAUGCUGCAAGCCUGGAAAGAAAGGAAUACUGAGCCAAUUAGAGCUACACGUUUCCGACCAAAGAAAUGUCCUUCUACUACCUAUGAAGAGACUAAUUCAGCAACUUACAGAAGAAAAAAACUGAAGCAGGCUGAGUGUCAGGAGCUGGUGGAAAACACAUCUGUAUCCCUCUAUUUUAUGGCCAGAGGGCAUCUGGCAUCUGCGUAGUCCCACUGCAGUGAUGGAGGCUCACAUGAUGUAUAGAUCCAGCUGCUCGCUUGGGCCUAUCUCUAUUU